GGGGGUGUACUGGUUUCGACAGGGAUACGCUUGGUACAGACGGCAGUCGAGUGGUUACGUAAUAACCAAUUAAAUUUAAACGGAAAAACUAAAUUAGCUAACAUCUUUGGUGCAAACCAGAGAAUGGCUUUUGCUGCUUAAUAACCGACAUAGGUUCGCAGCUGCCGCUAGUAUGUUGUCCUUUGGCAUACUAGAUGAGCAUCUCAUUCACGAAGGAUAAGGUUCAAUUCUAGUUCAAGGGAUUGAUCACGAAAAUAAAUUGAACACCUUCAAUAGGAGCUGUCCAUUGUUACCUGUUGAAUAUUGGUAAUGGACUAAACUGUAGAUGUCUGUACGUGGGGCUGUUUCUGGACGCGAGUUCAACUCUCGCCACCUCCACCA
rfam:Eubacterium sp. 3_1_31 genomic scaffold supercont1.2, whole genome shotgun sequence.